ACAUACUCCUUCCGUCCCAUAAAAAACCAAACUAAUAUCAGAUGUGACAUAUUCUAGUACUAAAAUCCUGGAUAUACCUAUGUUCAAAUUUAUUAUACUAGAAUGUGUCAUAUCAGUCCUGGUUUUUUUUUUUGGACGGAGGAAGUAGGU
rnacentral:misc_RNA from 1 species